rnacentral:rRNA from 1 species
AGAACGAACGCUGGCGGCAGGCUUAACACAUGCAAGUCGAACGCCCCGCAAGGGGAGUGGCAGACGGGUGAGUAACGCGUGGGAACGUGCCCUUCGCUUCGGAAUAGUCCCGGGAAACUGGGUUUAAUACCGGAUACGCCGUAUUGGGAAAGAUUUAUCGGCGAAGGAUCGGCCCGCGUUAGAUUAGGUAGUUGGCGGUGUAAUGGACCACCAAGCCUACGAUCUAUAGCUGGUCUGAGCGGAUGAUCAGCCACACUGGGACUGAGACACGGCCCAGACUCCUACGGGAGGCAGCAGUGGGGAAUCUUGGACAAUGGGCGCAAGCCUGAUCCAGCCAUGCCGCGUGAGUGAAGAAGGCCUUAGGGUUGUAAAACUCUUUCGCCGGUGAAGAUAAUGACGGUACCCACAGAAGAAGCCCGACUAACUUCGUGCCAGCAGCCGC